CAGGUGUGAACAGGUGUGAACAGGUGUGUGCAGGUGAGCAACGACAGGUGUGUGCAGGUGUGAACAGGUGUGUGCAGGUGAGGCCCGACAGGUGUGUGCAGGUGUGCACAGGUGUGUGCGGGGGAGCCCCACAGGUGUGCACAGGUGAGGGG